rnacentral:snRNA from 1 species
AAAGCUUCUCAGCCUUUUGGCUAAGAUCAGUUUAAUAUUUGACAGUCCUCUAUCCAAGAACAGUAUUUUAAAUGGGGUUUGGAAGUAGGAGUUAAUAGGAGCUUGCUCCAUCUGUUCCAUGCAUUGAUCUGCUAUUGCAGUACCUACAGGAACGGUGCAACCCCC